AUGUCAACAAUUGAGGAAAUAGCAGGAAUGGAUGUUCAUCCUGGUUAUAGUUACAGCAGCAGGGGACAAGCACUUGCUCUGGACCAGUGCAUCAAGUACCUCGGUCUGAAGGAAAGGGAGGACUAUGAGGUCGUAAUUGAGGACAAUAAGUUCUUGUACAAGAAGAACCGGCAAAUAAUUGACACGUCCUUCGGUCCGAGGGAUGCAAAGUGGAUCUUUGUUCUUAGCACAACUAAGACCUUGUAUGUUGGUCAGAAGAAGAGAGUAAACACUAUAAAAUGGCCCUCAUUGGUUUAUCACAGCUAUGGUGUUCAAACUCUUCAGUUUGCUGUCUUUGAUCUUACAGCCGGGUCCUUCAGUAUGUCAGAUUAG
rnacentral:rRNA from 1 species